AUUGAACGCUGGCGGCAGGCCUAACACAUGCAAGUCGAGCGAGCGGCGGACGGGUGAGUAAUGUCUGGGAAACUGCCUGAUGGAGGUGGAUAACUACUGGAAACGGUAGCUAAUAUCGCAUACCAUCAGAUGUGCCCAGAUGGGAUUAGCUAGUAGGUGGGGUAACGGCUCACCUAGGCGACGAGACCUAGCUGGUCUGAGAGGAUGACCAGCCACAGUGGAAAUGAGACACGGUCCAGACGCCUACGGGAGGCAGCAGUGGGGAAUAUUGCACAAUGGGCGCAAGCCUGAUGCAGCCAUGCCGCGUGUGUGAAGAAGGCCUUCGGGUUGUAAAGCACUUUCAGCGGGGAGGCGUUACCCGCAGAAGAAGCACCGGCUAACUCCGUGCCAGCAGCCGCGGUAAUAC
rnacentral:rRNA from 1 species